UCAUUUGAGGUCUUGUAUUCCU
rnacentral:siRNA from 1 species